rnacentral:rRNA from 1 species
GUAGGGAAUAUUGGUAAUCUGCGAAAGCGGGAACCAGCAACGCCGCGUGUGCGAUGAAGGCCUUCGGGUUGUAAAGCACUUUUUGAAGGGAUGAGGAAGGACAGUACCUUCAGAAUAAGCCUCGGCUAACUACGUGCCAGCAGCCGCGGUAACACGUAGGAGGCAAGCGUUAUUCGGAUUUACUGGGCGUAAAGCGCGUGCAGGCGGUUUGGUAAGUUGGAUGUGAAAGCUCCUGGCUUAACUGGGAGAGGUCGUUCAAAACUGCCAGACUAGAGGAUGAGAGAGGGAGGUGGAAUUCCGAGUGUAGUGGUGGAAUGCGUAGAUAUUCGGAGGAACACCAGUGGCGAAAGCGGCCUCCUGGCUCAUAACUGACGCUCAGACGCGAAAGCUAGGGUAGCAAACGGGAUUAGAUACCCUUGUAGUCC